rnacentral:rRNA from 1 species
AACGAACGCUGGCGGCAUGCCUAACACAUGCAAGUCGAACGAGACCUUCGGGUCUAGUGGCGCACGGGUGCGUAACGCGUGGGAACCUGCCCUUAGGGUCGGAAUAACUCCCCGAAAGGGGUGCUAAUACCGGAUAAUGUCUUCGGACCAAAGAUUUAUCGCCUUUGGAUGGGCCCGCGUUGGAUUAGCUAGUUGGUAGGGUAAAAGCCUACCAAGGCGACGAUCCAUAGCUGGUCUGAGAGGCUGAUCAGCCACACUGGGACUGAGACACGGCCCAGACUCCUCCGGGAUGCAGCAGUGGGGAAUAUUGGACAAUGGGCGGAAGCCUGAUCCAGCAAUGACGCGUGAGUGAUGAAGGCCUUAGGGUUGUAAAGCUCUUUUAACCGGGCUGAUCAUGACAGUACCGGGAGAAUAAGCUCCGGCUAACUCCGUG